rnacentral:rRNA from 1 species
GUGAACGCUGGCGGUAGGCCUAACACAUGCAAGUCGAACGGCAGCACAGUAAGAGCUUGCUCUUACGGGUGGCGAGUGGCGGACGGGUGAGGAAUACAUCGGAAUCUACUUUUUCGUGGGGGAUAACGUAGGGAAACUUACGCUAAUACCGCAUACGACCUACGGGUGAAAGCAGGGGAUCUUCGGACCUUGCGCGAUUGAAUGAGCCGAUGUCGGAUUAGCUAGUUGGCGGGGUAAAGGCCCACCAAGGCGACGAUCCGUAGCUGGUCUGAGAGGAUGAUCAGCCACACUGGAACUGAGACACGGUCCAGACUCCUACGGGAGGCAGCAGUGGGGAAUAUUGGACAAUGGGCGCAAGCCUGAUCCAGCCAUACCGCGUGGGUGAAGAAGGCCUUCGGGUUGUAAAGCCCUUUUGUUGGGAAACAAAAGCAGCAGGUUAAUACCCCGCUGUUCUGACGGUACCCAAAGAAUAAGCACCGGCUAACUUCGUG